GACGAACGCUGGCGGCGUGCCUAAUACAUGCAAGUAGAACGCACAGUUUAUACCGUAGCUUGCUACACCAUAGACUGUGAGUUGCGAACGGGUGAGUAACGCGUAGGUAACCUGCCUGGUAGCGGGGGAUAACUAUUGGAAACGAUAGCUAAUACCGCAUAAUAUUAAUUAUUGCAUGAUAAUUGAUUGAAAGGUGCAAUUGCACCACUACCAGAUGGACCUGCGUUGUAUUAGCUAGUAGGUGAGGUAACGGCUCACCUAGGCGACGAUACAUAGCCGACCUGAGAGGGUGAUCGGCCACACUGGGACUGAGACACGGCCCAGACUCCUACGGGAGGCAGCAGUAGGGAAUCUUCGGCAAUGGACGAAAGUCUGACCGAGCAACGCCGCGUGAGUGAAGAAGGUUUUCGGAUCGUAAAGCUCUGUUGUAAGAGAAGAACGGGUGUGAGAGUGGAAAGUUCACACUGUGACGGUAUCUUACCAGAAAGGGACGGCUAACUACGUGCCAGCCGCCGCCGUAACAC
rnacentral:rRNA from 1 species